CCUACGGGAGGCAGCAGUGAGGAAUAUUGGGCAAUGGACUCAACUCUGACCCAGCCAUGCCGCGUGAGUGAAGAAUGCCCUCGGGUUGUUAAGCCCCUUCGGACGUGACGAUGCUGACGGUAGCAUCUACCGAAGCCCCGGCUAACUUCGUGCCAGCAGCCGCGGUCAUACGUAGGUGGCAAGCGGUAUUCGGAUUUAUUGGGCGUAAAGGGAACGCAGGCGGUCUUUUAAGUUUGAUGUGAAAGCCUCCGGCUUAACCGGAGUAGUGCAGUGGACACUGGGGGUCUUGAGUGCAGAAGAGGAGAGUGGAACGCGAGGUGUAGCGGUGAAAUGCGUAGAUAUAUGGAAGAACACCAGUGGCGAAGGCGGCUCACUGGUCUGUAACUGACGCUGAGGUACGAAAGCGUGGGUAGCGAACAGGAUUAGAUACCCGAGUAGUC
rnacentral:rRNA from 1 species